rnacentral:rRNA from 1 species
UGGGGAAUAUUGCGCAAUGGGGGCAACCCUGACGCAGCCAUGCCGCGUGAAUGAAGAAGGCCUUCGGGUUGUAAAGUUCUUUCGGUAGCGAGGAAGGCACUUAGUUUAAUAAACUAGGUGAUUGACGUUAACUACAGAAGAAGCACCGGCUAACUCCGUGCCAGCAGCCGCGGUAAUACGGAGGGUGCGAGCGUUAAUCGGAAUAACUGGGCGUAAAGGGCACGCAGGCGGUGACUUAAGUGAGGUGUGAAAGCCCCGGGCUUAACCUGGGAAUUGCAUUUCAUACUGGGUCGCUAGAGUACUUUAGGGAGGGGUAGAAUUCCACGUGUAGCGGUGAAAUGCGUAGAGAUGUGGAGGAAUACCGAAGGCGAAGGCAGCCCCUUGGGAAUGUACUGACGCUCAUGUGCGAAAGCGUGGGGAGCAAACAGGAUUAGAUACCCUGGUAGUCCACGCUGUAAACGAUGUCGAUUUGGGGGUUGAACUUUGAGUUUGGCGCCCGUAGCUAACGUGAUAAAUCGACCGCCUGGGGAGUACGGCCGCAAGGUUA